UACGUAGGGCGCGAGCGUUGUCCGGAAUUAUUUGGGGCGUAAAGAGCUCGUAGGCGGCUUGUUGCGUCUGCUGUGAAAUCCCGGGGCUUAACCCCGGGCGUGCAGUGGAUACGGGCAGGCUGGAGGCAGGCAGGGGAGAAUGGAAUUCCCGGUGUAGCGGUGAAAUGCGCAGAUAUCGGGAGGAACACCGGUGGCGAAGGCGGUUCUCUGGGCCUG
rnacentral:rRNA from 1 species